rnacentral:rRNA from 1 species
AAUAUUGCGCAAUGGAGGGAACUCUGACGCAGCGACGCCGCGUGAGUGAUGAAGGUCUUCGGAUCGUAAAGCUCUGUCCUUGGGGACGAAGAUCUUCGGAUUUGACGGUACCCAAGGAGGAAGCCCCGGCUAACUACGUGCCAGCAGCCGCGGUAAUACGGAGGGGGCAAGCGUUGUCCGGAAUUAUUGGGCGUAAAGGGUGCGUAGGCGGCCUUUUAAGUCAGAUGUGAAAGACCACGGCUUAACCGUGGGGUUGCAUUUGAAACUGAAGGGCUUGAGUAUCGGAGAGGGUAGUGGAAUUCCCAGUGUAGCGAUGGAAUGCGUAGAUAUUGGGAGGAACACCAGUGGCGAAGGCGACUACCUGGACUAAUACUGACACUGAGGUGCGAAAGCGUGGGGAGCAAACA